GCAGACCCAGCUUGUCUCGUGGUUCCAGGGCUGGGCCUCUGCCAGCCCAUCCCUGCUGUGCCAGCUCCCGACUUCUGGCAGCCUGAUGCAGGUUCUUUCUGUCGAAUCUUCUGAUGAAAUGACUUGCCCUCCAUCUCCAGACCAGCCGCAGAUGGACACCAGGUGCCCCGAGUCAGGCUGACCUCGCUCAGCCUCCCCGCGGCACUUGGAACUCGACUCUGCGUCCCGUGGCCUCUGGGACCCCAUGUGUCCCUGGCUGUCCUCCCGCUUCGCCGGCCACUCCUCGGCAGGCAGUGGGCAGAGCGGCUCCAAGCUCACCGGGACUCCGGCCACCGGUUCGUAUCCCUCCUCUUCUGCAGGAAGGAACUUCUAAGAGUUGCCGCUGUUCCUUGCAAACUUCUGGACACGGAUCCAGUCCACGGCCGGGGUGUGUGCAGCAGUUUCAGCCGCGCUGCACACAAGACCUGCCGGCGACGGAGCGGACGGCGUUUGUGGGACAGAACCCGGAGCGGGGGCGCUGGGCUGAGGCUCCUAACGGCGCCCGGAGUGAGGCGGCUCCGGCCCCCGCAGCCGCGGGAUCCGCGGUUUAAAGCGUCGGAAGCCCGUGCAGGUACCCCCGGGCACAGUCCCGCCCCCUCCCCCCACCCUGCACAGUCCCGCCCCCUCCCCCCCCCCCGCGCACAGUCCCGCCCCCUCCCCCACCCCGCGCACUGUCCCGCCCCCUCCCCCACCCCGCGCACAGUCCCGCCCCCUCCCCCCCCCCGCGCACAGUCCCG
ensembl:lncRNA